rnacentral:rRNA from 1 species
GGUGGUGCGGCACCGGAACCAAGCAGAGGUGCGGGGGUUAUAAAGGGUAAGGAAAGGGACGGGACGAGGGUGGGUGUAGAGGUGGAGGUGGGAGGAGGAGGAGGGAGAGGUAGGUAGGUGAGGUGGCCGCGUAGCCCCACAGAGGCAGAGGCAGGCCGGCCGCACUAAAAGAAACAGGGGCCCGGCGCUGCGUGCGCGCUGUACCGGCGGCGUCGACGACGGCUGCUGCGCCAGCGGCGGCUGUAGUAGACGAGCGACGCGCCCCGGCUGGACCGGCCCACCUGCGGCGGCACCUCGUUCGCGCCCUCCGGCUACCUCCUCCGCUCCCUCGACAGGACCGGCCGGUACCGCGCCCCCUUCGCGAGCGCCGCGGCGAGAGGCCGCAGCAGCAGCCGCUGCCGCCGCCCCCCAUUCCGCCGCUCCACACGGGCCAGGUCGGGCCGGAGCGGCGACCUGAUGUCGCGGCCGAGGCGGAGGGAGGCGAGGCCGCGGAGGUGGUCGCCGCCGCUCCUGCCGCGGAAGACGAGCGGCACCGUGGCGGCGCGCCGGUGGCGCGGACGCUGAUGUUGCUUCUGCUGCUGCUUCCACCCAAGGUAGUCUGCCGGCGUCAACUGGAAGGUCCGGGGCGGAGGCGCCGGGCGGCCAGUCUCCGUUGCCUUCUUUUACUCCGACGGCCUCCAGGUCGUCGACCACGCCAGCGAGCGGCACCUCUUGCUCUCGGAUGUGCUCCUCUACGCCCUUGACGUCUCCCGAACGAGGCGCGACAGCUUUCUUUUACUGUUCGAACUCUGUUCUUAUCAUCUCGUUAGGUUGAGUGCCUUACUUCGGUGUAACUUCCUCGUCUUCCCUUUCGUCGUCGUCGAACUAGUCGUCGUCGUCGUCGUCGUCGUCAGGGGUGUACUGUCGAAGCGCGAUGGUCUAGAGUUGGAAGGACGCGUCCUGCCACGACUACCCAGUCAGGGAACAACUCGCGAGGUCUAGCGGUGGCGCCGAAGCGAUUGGCUUAUUGUUUCACAUGUAUCUCCAUCGUCCGAAUCGAUCUGCUCCUCCCCGUGCCCUGCCCUCACGGUAGGUUUCUUUUUCUUACCGCGCCUAAAGUAUUCAAAAAUCUUAAAAAAUGUCCCAGUCCACAGUGAUAGGACUCACUGUUCCAGUCCAACAUCGAUUUGCCUUACUGAUUAAAUCGAGUAGACGAUUAACAAAGAAUGGAUGGAUGAUCACGAAGAUAUAAAGUAUCUCGACUCUCCACCGUGUCGAGUUUGGCUGAGUGUGACACAUCGGCUAAAUCUACGCAAAUAAGUACAACGAAACAAUAUUCACUACUACUCUUACAACGGACACGUCUAAACCGAUGACAUACUUCAUUAACCAUUGAACAAGGUAGAAAGAAAAAGA